rnacentral:rRNA from 1 species
AACGAACGCUGGCGGCAGGCUUAACACAUGCAAGUCGAACGCGUGUAGCAAUACACGAGUGGCGCACGGGUGCGUAACGCGUGGGAAUCUGCCCUUGGGUUCGGAAUAACAGUUAGAAAUGACUGCUAAUACCGAAUGAUGUCUUCGGACCAAAGAUUUAUCGCCCAAGGAUGAGCCCGCGUCGGAUUAGCUAGUUGGUGAGGUAAUGGCUCACCAAGGCGACGAUCCGUAGCUGGUCUGAGAGGACGAUCGGCCACACUGGGACUGAGACACGGCCCAGACUCCUACGGGAGGCAGCAGUGGGGAAUAUUGCACAAUGGGCGAAAGCCUGAUGCAGCAAUGCCGCGUGUGUGAAGAAGGCCUGCGGGUUGUAAAGCACUUUCGGUAGGGAAGAUAAUGACGGUACCUACAGAAGAAGCACCGGCUAACUCCGUGCCAGCAGCCGCGGUAAU